rnacentral:rRNA from 1 species
CGUACGGCUCAGUAACACGUAGUCAACCUGCCCUGGAGAUGGGGACAAGCCCGGGAAACUGGGACCGAUCCCCGAUAGAUGACCUCAUCUGGAAGGAGAGGUCGUCCAAAAGGCUGCAUGAGUAUGCUUUGUGCUUCCGCUCCAGGAUGGGACUGCGGCCGAUCAGGCUGUUGGCGGGGUAAUGGCCCACCAAACCUGUAACCGGUACGGGCUUUGAGAGAAGGAGCCCGGAGAUGGACACUGAGACAAGGGUCCAGGCCCUACGGGGCGCAUCAGGCGCGAAAACUUCGCAAUGCGCGAAAGCGUGACGAGGCUAAUCCGAGUGCUUUCCGCUGAGGAGAGCUUUUCUCGGCUGCAAAUAGGCCGGGGAAUAAGGGGAGGGCAAGUCUGGUGUCAGCCGCCGCGGUAAUACCAGCUCCUCGAGUGGUCGGGACGAUUAUUGGGCCUAAAGCACCCGUAGCCGGUUCGUCAAGUCCUCUGUUAAAUCCAGCCGCCCAACGGCUGGCCUGCAGGGGAAACUGCCGGACUAGGAGGCGGGAGAGGCGGACGGUACUCCGCGUGUAGGGGUAAAAUCCUUUGAUCCGCGGAAGACCACCAGUGGCGAAGGCGGUCCGCCAGAACGCGCUCGACGGUGAGGGGUGAAAGCUGGGGGAGCGAACC